rnacentral:lncRNA from 1 species
UUUUUUUUUUUGAUAAAAAUUUACAAAUUUUAUUGAAACUAUGAAUUAUUUUAAAUCAGCUUUUUCAACCGUUCAAAAUUUUUAUUUUACGAUUUUACCUUCUAAUUUGUUUAAUUUAUAAUAAUUAAUAGUAUCUUACGUUAUUAGAUAAAAUAAAGUUAGGGUAAAAGCAUAUAAAGAUAUGCUUUGCAUUCUCCGAUGAGACCGCAGAAAAUAUAUCGUAAUCGACUCAUCGUGAUAUACAGAACGCAAUAGUACAUAAGAAAACAAACAGCAUAUUUUUUUAUUGUACUUUCUCACUGCACGUAACGCAAUCUCCUCCUAAUUCCAAAUGAAACCUAAGAUUUAACAUAAUUAUUUAUAUUAAUAAAUUUAUGUACUCCGUAAAGAUAAAAGACAUAUUCAAAUUUGUUUGGGAUUGGAGGAAGAUUAUGUUACGUGCAGCGAGAAAUUACGAUAAAAAAAUAUGCUGUUUGUUUCUUUACGUGAUAUUGUGUUCUGUAUAUCAUGAUUAGUUGGUUACGAUAUAUUUUUUGUAGUCCCACCGGAGAACGCAUAAAUAUAUCCUUAUAUGCUUUUACUCUAACUUCACUUUAUCUAAUAGCGACAGAUAGGCCUCAAUACCAAACUAAGCCUACCUAGCAUCAAACAAGCUCAAAACUAGAUGUUAGAAUCAAAAUUUUGAAAUUUAGUAGCCGAAAUAAAAUGGCUCAUAGUUAAGAUAAGUUAUAUAUAUAUAUAUAUUUUUUUUUUGGUAAAAUAUAGAAAAAUCUCUGAAGCUCAUUUGCAAAAUAGACGUAUGAAUUUUCAAUUUUAGUCAAAAAAAUCUUUUCAAUUUUAUCAAACAGUUUAAUUGACCCAUCUCUUCAAUUAAAGUUAUUAAUUACACAAUCGUUUUGAUUUUAUAUAUUGCAUAUAGUUUCUAUAAAGCUUAAAAAUAUUUAAAAAA